rnacentral:rRNA from 1 species
GUCAAGUCAGCAUGGCCCUGACGCCCUGGGCGACACACACGCUACAAUGGCCGGGACAGUGGGCAGCCAAGCGGUAACGCGGAGCCAAUCCCCCAAACCCGGUCUCAGUUCAGAUCGAGGGCUGCAACUCGCCCUCGUGAAGGCGGAGUUGCUAGUAACCGCAGGUCAGCACUACUGCGGUGAAUAUGUUCCCGGGCCUU